AUUUCCCAAAUAGUAUUGAAUUUUGGCUGAAGUCUUACCACAAAAUCAUGUGUGCUAGCAUUAAUAUUAGUUAAAGGAAUAGUUAAUGGAUUUGUUUCUUACAAACAUGCAGUUCUUCAUAAGACAUUUAUUGAUGGCCUGGAGUCAUGUGAAUUACUUGUGGAUUAUUGUUUUUUUUUUUUGUUUGUUUUUAUCAGCUGUUUGGACUUUCACUCUGAUGGCACCCAUUCACUGUAGAGGAUCCAUUGCUCCUGAACUCUGCAGCCUCUUCAAAGUGAUCGAUAUGCUCUCUCUUGCUUCUCUCACUGGUCUCCUUUAUGUUCGCACAGAGAGUUUUGAGCUCUCAUAUGAUUGGCUGACUUUACACAACCUCUGGGAGUUGGGAGGAACAUGUUUUUUUCAUCAGUCUGCCUGGAAACCAAGUCGUGUUUACAAAGUACCGGGAUGAUUCAGCAAGCACUUGUGAGCAGGAACUAAUCACUGGAUUUGCAAGCGUUUGUCAGAGGUGACACUGACUCAUGUCUAUGCCAGCAUGGAUCACAGUUGAAGGUCUCGAGGACAGACAGAGAUCGGGACCCUUGUCCUGGCAGCGGUCAUGCCCUUUAGUCUCUGCACACUGUAAUGAGGAAGCAUACUCUUUUCUACUCCAGUGGACAAUGACUUCUUCAGCCUGGGCCUGCAUUGUUUCAAAAUGAACCAAGAUUCAAGAGCUUUUCAGCAGCUAUUACUCCAAUCUUCAGCGUCACAUGAUCCUUCAGAAAUCCUCCAGAAAAUUCUGAUUUGGUCCUCCAGAAACAGUUGCAAACAUGCUGCUUAAUAUUUUUGUGGAAACCGUGAUGCAAUUUUUUUUUUUUUUUACAAGAUUCUUUGAUGAAUAGAAAGUUCAAAAGAACAGUGUUUAUUUGAAACAGGAAUAUUUUGUAUCAUUACAAAUGUUUUACUCUUUUUACGUUUGACCAGUUUAUUGCAUCCCUGUGAUUCCCAAACUUUUGAACGAUAGUGUAUGUGACUUUUACAUGAAUUGUUGCAAAGUGUGAGAAGAAUGAUGGUUAAAUGUCUAAAGGUUCCAGCAGACAUGCAUUGUUAGUUUGUUUGAUUAAUCUGUGAAAUAUAAUCUGUAGAAAUGAAAAUAAUAGUUCAGCCUAAAUUGAAAAAUCAUUUAAUUUUUCUGACAUUUUUUUCUCACAUUUGU